ACGCGUUGGGAGCUCUCCCAUAUGGUCGACCUGCAGGCGGCCGCGAAUUCACUAGUGAUUAUCGUAUUACCGCGGCUGCUGGCACGUAUUUAGCCGUCCCUUUCUGGUAUGGUACCGUCAAACUAAAAUCAUUCCCUAUUUUAGCAUUUCUUCCCAUACAACAGUGCUUUACGACCCGAAAGCCUUCAUCACACACGCGGCGUUGCUCCAUCAGGCUUGCGCCCAUUGUGGAAGAUUCCCUACUGCAGCCUCCCGUAGGAGUUUGGGCCGUGUCUCAGUCCCAAUGUGGCCGAUCAGUCUCUCAACUCGGCUAUGCAUCAUCGUCUUGGUAAGCCUUUACCCCACCAACUAACUAAUGCACCGCGGAUCCAUCUCUAGGUGACGCCGUAGCGCCUUUCAACUUGAUAUCAUGCGAUACUAAGUUUUAUACGGUAUUAGCACCUGUUUCCAAUCGAAUUCCCGCGGCCGCCAUGGCGGCCGGAGAG
rnacentral:rRNA from 1 species